GGUUCUGUACUUUUUUUAUUAGCCACUAGACCACACCCUAAACCCUAGUUUUUGUAGACAGGAAAAAACCAUUGUGUGUAGAAUGGAGCGUCCUGUGUGUAACGAGUAUCGACUUGGUCGCAAAAUUGGCAGAGGAACGUUCAGCGGGAUCUAUAUUGGUACUAAUAUACACACUAAUGAGAAGUCGCUAUUAAGCUGCAAAAUGUCAAUCCAAAGAGACCUCAAUUGCUAUUUGAAUCAAAGUUGUAUAGAUUUCUUCAGGGAGGAAGUAACGGCUUAUCUUGUUUUGUAUUCCUAGUCACUUGUCUAGUUUGUUCUGGUUAGCUUUAUAAUUGUAGUACUUCUCUUGUAGCUGGAAUUCCAAAUGUGCUGUGCGUUGGCGUGGAGGAGAUCGCAAUGUUACGAUCAUGGAUUUGCUUGGACCCAGUCUCGAAGAUACAUUUAAUUUUUGCAGUAGGAAGUUUUCCCUGAAGACAGUUUUGAUGCUUGCACAUCAAAUGGUUAAUUUUAAUUUAAUGCAACAAAUUUUUACCUUCUUAAAAUGUGUUGGUUAUAUGGUGGUAUUUACUGCAGAUAAAAAGUGUCCAAUUUGUUCAUUCUUACUCAUUUUUACAUUGAGAUAUCAAGCCAAGCAACUUUC